rnacentral:rRNA from 1 species
GAGCGCAAGCUUGACCGAGCGACGCCGCGUGCGGAUGAAGGCCGUUCGGGUUGUAAACCGCUUUUGGUCCAGAAGUAAGGCCGAGCAAUCGGCUUGAACGACUGGAGAAACAAGCACGGGCUAAGUUCGUGCCAGCAGCCGCGGUAAGACGAACCGUGCGAACGUUGUUCGGAAUCACUGGGCUUAAAGGGCGCGUAGGCGGCCGGGUUGGUCGUGGGUGAAAUCCCCCAGCUUAACUGGGGAAUUGCCUACGAUACUGCCUGGCUCGAGGGAGGAAGGGGCGGCCGGAACUGUCGGUGGAGCGGUGAAAUGCGUUGAGAUCGACAGGAACGCCGGUGGCGAAAGCGGGCCGCUGGCCCUCUUCUGACGCUGAGGCGCGAAAGCCAGGGGAGCGAACGGGAUUAGAUACCCCGGUAGUCCUGGCCUUAAACGAUGGGCACUAGGUAGUGGGCUCGACCUGGGCGCACUGCCGCAGCGAAAGUCAUUAGUGCCCCGCCUGGGGAGUAUGGUCGCAAGGCUG